rnacentral:rRNA from 1 species
AGAGAGAGACAUGCGCGCAUAUCAAUAAGCGGAGGAAAAGAAACUAACAAGGAUUCCCCUAGUAACGGCGAGUGAAGCGGGAAGAGCUCAAAUUUGAAAUCUUAAAGGGUUUCCCUUUACGAAUUGUAGUUUAAGGAAGUGUUUUCUGUUGAGGUUUUGGUAAAAGUUCUUUGGAAUAGGACAUCAUAGAGGGUGAGAAUCCCGUAUUUGACCUUUACUUUCAACUUUGUGAUACACUUUCAAAGAGUCGGAUUGUUUGGGAAUGCAGUCCAAAAUGGGUGGUAAAUUUCAUCUAAAGCUAAAUAUUGGCGAGAGACCGAUAGCGAACAAGUACCGUGAGGGAAAGAUGAAAAGAACUUUGAAAAGAGAGUUAAACAGUACGUGAAAUUGUCAAAAGGGAAGCGUUUGACACCAGUGUUGUUUUUCUGAAAAUCAAUUAAAGAACUGUUUAUGCUAAGUUGUUUAGACUUUAUCAGCUAACUGUUUAGUUUUGAGCUUUUCUUUAAUGCACUUUUCAGUUAACAAGUCAACAUCAAUUUCUUUUGCUGUAAAAAAGCUUGAGGAAGGUGGCUUGAGAUUCGUCUUAAGUGUUUAUAGCCUCUUGCCUAUGCAGUCGGAGAGAUUGAGGUCUGCAGCGUAGAUCCUUCGGGGCUAAAUGCAUUUGAGCUAAGCUAUAGCAUUUUAUAGACAACUUGUUGACUAUGAUUUGUCUUGUAGCUUACUCGCUUAUGUUAUUUUACCUACGCUUAGGAUGUUGAGCGCAUGUCUCUCUCU